rnacentral:lncRNA from 1 species
UGAUGAAUGCCAUGGCCUACUUCAAAGAGUUUGCUCUCUCUGAGUUUGAUGCAAAGAAGUUCCAGCCUGGUCAAUGUAAAGGCCAAUCGAGGCCAGAUACUGUAUGGAAGAGGUGCGUGAUCCGGAGCCAUAACGAUCCCAUGCCCCGGCCGUGCUGCUUCCGUGUGGGAACCGGUGUACAUUCUCCUUAAGGCAUUACAGUUGCUCCUGUGAUGCAAAUUAGUCUUUAUGCGUGAAGGAGAGAUAAAAAGCUGUAGUCUUCUCCAGGUGAGUCUUGAGGUCAUCACUUUCAUCAUCCAAUUUCUAUAACAGUACUUCAGUUUAAAUCACAAUAGACCAGAGCUACUUUUAACAUACCUUUUGUAUAUUAAAAUUGGACCAAGUUUUGAUUUGGCUUUGUCAGUUUCCCAUUUCCUUUAUUACAAACACCAUCUUUCCCAAUCCUGCCUCCCUAUACUUUAGACACACACACACACACACACACACACACACACACACACACACACACACACACACACACACACACACACACACACACACACACACACACACACACACACACACACACACACACACACACACCCCUCCAGUACUCCCUACCACCUUACUCAUCUGUCUUCACACAGGCAUGUAAUUCUGUUGUGAUCUUUCAAAACAUUUAUUUUUCUCUAAAUGAACUGCUCAUUCCAUGCUACGGCGAUAACAAUGUAAUUCUUGUGCUGGAAUUCUGUGGAAUGCAGACUGGUG